rnacentral:snoRNA from 1 species
UUCAAAUGAUGUAUUUUCUAUAUUUGCUACUUCAGACAAGGUUAAGCCUUGAAUGAGACAUUUUUUAUCACCAAGAUCUCUGAUGUU